GCAGCCCUAGCGGUGGGAAUGGGAACACCUCGUCUGGGAGCUUUCUUUCGGUUCAGCUUCCCCAGCCGGACCCCAAAGACCCGAAGCCCUGGGGGAAGGAAAUUCCAACUCGCUCCCGGCCCACCCCCGCCCCGUUUCUCUCUCCGGCUCGCUGCUUCCCUCGCUCCAAUGCCGCCGAGCUGGUCCCCACUUAUGUGCGGCCGUGCUGCAGAGGCGGCGGCGAGCUCCCGGACUCCGGGCAGGGAAAUGGGGCAGGCAGUGACGCGCCGCCUGGGAGCUGGAGCCCGCGCAGCGCCCCGCAGGGCGAUGGACGGCCGAACCCCGCGCCCGCAGGACGUCCCAGCCGGGAGAAAACCAAAAGCCAAGGCACCACUUCCUCCAGCUGAGACCAAAUACACUGAUGUCUCUUCAGCUGCUGAUUCUGUAGAAUCCACUGCUUUCAUCAUGGAACAGAAAGAAAACAUGAUAGAUAAAGACGUUGAACUCUCAGUGGUCCUACCUGGGGAUAUUAUCAAAUCUACUACUGUUCAUGGCAGUAAACCUAUGAUGGACUUGUUGAUAUUCCUUUGUGCACAGUAUCACUUAAAUCCAUCAAGUUACACAAUCGAUCUGUUGUCAGCUGAACAGAACCACAUUAAAUUUAAGCCAAACACACCAAUAGGAAUGUUGGAGGUAGAGAAGGUAAUUUUAAAGCCGAAAAUGUUGGAUAAGAAAAAACCUACACCUAUAAUACCAGAGAAAACUGUGAGAGUAGUGAUUAAUUUUAAGAAAACACAGAAGACCAUAGUGAGAGUGAGUCCACAUGCAUCGCUUCAAGAGCUUGCCCCUAUUAUAUGUAGCAAAUGUGAGUUUGAUCCGUUGCAUACACUAUUGUUGAAAGAUUAUCAAACGCAGGAGCCUCUCGACUUGACAAAAUCUCUUAAUGACCUGGGACUAAGAGAAUUAUAUGCGAUGGAUGUCAACAGAGCCACUUCUGUUACUGUCUUCAGUAAGUCAUCUUUACAAGAGUCCUGCCAAAUAUCACAAAACCUAGAUAUUAUGAAGGAGAAAGAAAAUAAAGGGUUUUUCAGUUUUUUUCAACGCAGUAAGAAAAAGCGAGACCAAACUGCAAGUGCCCCUGCAACCCCUCUAGUAAAUAAGCACCGCCCGACUUUUACAAGGUCCAAUACCAUUUCCAAACCAUAUAUUUCCAACACCCUGCCGUCGGAUGCACCCAAGAAGAGGCGGGCUCCACUGCCCCCGAUGCCAGCAUCUCAGAGUGUCCCCCAAGACCUUGCACACAUCCAGGAGAGGCCUGCUUCUUGUAUAGUGAAAUCCAUGAGCGUGGAUGAGACAGAUAAGAGUCCCUGUGAAGCAGGAAGAGUGAGGGCAGGUUCAUUGCAGCUCAGCAGCACGUCUGCAGGGAAUUCAUCUUUGAGAAGGACAAAGCGAAAAGCACCUUCCCCACCCUCCAAAAUACCCCCGCAUCAAAGUGAUGAAAAUAGUCGUGUGACUGCCUUACAGCCAGUAGAUGGAGUUCCUCCAGACAGUGCUUCAGAAGCAAACUCUCCUGAGGAGCUAUCCAGCCCAGAAACCUUUCACCCUGGGCAUUCCAGUCAGGAGCAGUGCACUGCGCCCAAACUGAUGGAGGAAACCUCUGUCUUUGAGUGCCCUGGGACACCUGAGGCAGCCAUAACAUCAUUGACAUCUGGAAUAAGCUCUGAUUAUAGCCUUGAAGAGAUAGAUGAAAAGGAAGAACUGAGUGAAGUGCCUAAAGUUGAAGCUGAAAAUAUUUCUCCGAAGUCACAAGAUAUUCCUUUUGUAUCUACUGAUAUAAUAAAUACACUGAAAAAUGAUCCUGACUCAGCCCUUGGCAAUGGUAGUGGAGAGUUCUCACAAAACUCCAUGGAAGAAAAACAAGAAACUAAAAGCACAGAUGGAGAAGAACCACACAGUGUAGUAUAUGAUACAAGCAAUGGAAAGAAGGUAGUUGACAGUAUAAGAAACUUGAAGUCGUUGGGCCCAAACCAAGAGAAUGUAGUUCAAAAUGAAAUAAUUGUCUAUCCAGAGAACACAGAAGACAAUAUGAAAAAUGGAGUGAAGAAAACAGAAAUCAAUGUAGGAGGUGUUGCCAAAAAUAACAACAUUGAUAUGGAAGUUGAGAGACCAUCAAACUCUGAGGCACAUGAAACUGAUAUUGCUAUAAGUUACAAGGAAAACCAUCUAGCAGCUUCAUCAGUACCAGAUCAAAAACUGAAUCAACCCAGUGCAGAAAAGACAAAAAUGCAAGAUGCAGCAAUUCAGACAACCCCUUCUUGUAACAGUUUUGAUGGGAAACACCAAGAUCAUAAUUUAUCUGACUCCAAAGUUGAAGAAUGUGUGCAAACUUCAAAUAACAACAUAUCAACUCAACACUCAUGCUUAAGUUCACAAGAUUCUGUAAAUACCUCAAGGGAAUUCAGGAGUCAAGGCACCCUAAUUAUACAUUCAGAAGAUCCGCUUACCGUAAAAGAUCCAAUUUGUGCACAUGGUAAUGAUGAUCUUUUGCCUCCUAUAGAUAGGAUUGACAAAAAUUCAACUGCUUCUUACCUAAAGAAUUACCCACUUUAUAGACAGGACUACAAUCCCAAGCCAAAACCUUCAAAUGAAAUUACACGAGAGUAUAUACCCAAAAUUGGCAUGACUACUUAUAAAAUAGUGCCUCCCAAAUCCUUGGAAAUAUCGAAAGACUGGCAAUCAGAAACCAUAGAGUAUAAAGAUGAUCAGGACAUGCAUGCUUUAGGGAAAAAGCACACUCAUGAGAAUGUGAAAGAAACUGCCAUCCAAACAGAAGAUUCUGCUAUUUCUGAAAGCCCAGAAGAGCCACUGCCAAACCUUAAACCGAAGCCUAACCUGAGAACAGAGCAUCAAGUGCCCAGUUCUGUGAGCUCACCUGAUGGUGCCAUGGUUAGUCCUCUGAAACCUGCUCCCAAAAUGACAAGAGACACUGGCACAGCUCCUUUUGCACCAAAUUUGGAAGAAAUAAACAAUAUUUUGGAAUCAAAAUUUAAAUCUCGGGCUUCAAAUGCCCAGGCCAAACCCAGCUCUUUUUUUUUGCAGAUGCAGAAGAGAGUAUCGGGUCACUAUGUGACAUCUGCAGCUGCCAAGAGUGUCCAUGCUGCCCCUAAUCCUGCUCCAAAAGAACUGACAAAUAAAGAGGCAGAAAGGGAUAUGCUGCCUUCUCCGGAGCAGACUCUUUCUCCCUUAAGUAAAAUGCCUCACUCUGUUCCACAACCCCUUGUUGAAAAAACUGAUGAUGAUGUCAUCGGUCAGGCUCCUGCUGAAGCCUCCCCUCCUCCCAUAGCUCCAAAACCUGUGACAAUUCCUGCUAGUCAGGUAUCCACACAAAAUCUGAAGACUUUGAAAACUUUUGGUGCCCCACGACCAUACUCAAGUUCUGGUCCUUCACCGUUUGCUCUUGCUGUAGUGAAAAGGUCACAGUCUUUCAGUAAAGAGCGCACCGAGUCACCUAGUGCCAGUGCAUUGGUCCAACCUCCAGCCAACACAGAGGAAGGGAAGACUCAUUCUGUAAAUAAAUUUGUGGACAUCCCACAGCUUGGUGUGUCUGAUAAGGAAAAUAACUCUGCACAUAAUGAACAGAAUUCCCAAAUACCAACUCCAACUGAUUGCCCAUCAUUCACUGUUAUGAGACAAAGUUCUUUAACAUUCCAAAGCUCUGACCCAGAACAGAUGCGACAGAGUUUGCUGACUGCAAUCCGUUCGGGGGAGGCUGCUGCCAAAUUGAAAAGGGCCUCCCUAUUUCCUGAGACGCAACAUAUUGAAACUAGGCCAAUUAACCCUACAGUGGCCUCUAAGUGUUCAAGUGAAAGAAAGAGUUAAAGGCUCUCACUUUGAACCAAAAGCUAGGAAUGAUUAAGUUUAGUGAGGAAGGCAUGUCAAAAGCCGAGACAGGCUGGGCGUAGUGGCUCACACCUGUAAUCUCAGCACUUUGGGAGGCCAAGGCGGGUAGAUCACCUGAGGUCCGGAGUUCAUGACCAGCCUGGCCAACAUGGUGAAACCCCACCUCUACAAAAAAUACAAAAGUUAGCAGGGAGUGGUGGUGCAUGCCUGUAGUCCCAGCUACUUGGGAGGCUGAGGCAGGACAAUCAUGAACUGGAAAAUAACAGAGAAACUGGAAAAUAACAGAGAAACUGGAAAAUAACAGAGGUUGCAGUGAGCUGAGCUCACGCCACUGCCCUCCAGCCUGGGCGAUAGAGUGAGACUCCAUCUCAAAAAAAAAAAAAGCCGAGACAGGCUUAUUAUACCAAACAGCCAAGUUGUGAAUGCAAAUGAAAAGAUCGUAAAGGAAAUGAAAAGUGCUACUCCAGUGAACACAUGAAUGAUAAGAAAGCAAAGCAGCCUUAUUGCUGAUAUGGAGACAGUUUAGUGGUCUGGCUAGAAGACCAAAGCAGCCACAACAUACCCUUGAGCCAAAACCUAAUCCAGAGCAACAUCCUAACUCUCUUCCUCAAUUCUAUGAAGGCUGAGAGAGAUGAAGCUAUAGAAGAAAAAUGUGAAGCUAGGAGAGGUUAGUUCACAAGGUUUAACAAAAGAAGCUGUCUCUGUAACAGAAAAGUGUAAAGUGAAGCAGCAAGUGCUGAUGUAGAAGCUGCAGCAAGCUAUGCAGAAGAUCUAGAUUAGAUCAUUGAUGAAGGCGGGGCUACACUAAAUAACAGAUUUUUAACAUAGACAAAACAGCCUUCUCUUGGAAGAAAAUGCCAUCUAGGACUUUUAUAGCUAGAGAGAAGUCAAUGAAUGGCUUCAAAGCUUCAGUGAACAGGCUGACUCUCUUGUUAGGGGCUAAUGGAACUGGUGACUUUAAGUUGAAACCAAUGCUCAUUUAGCAUUCCAAAAAAUAUGAGCGUCCUUCAUAAUUAUGCUAUAUCUACUGUGCCUGUGCUCAAAACACCAAAGCAUGGAUGACAGCACCUCUGUUUACAGCACGGAUUACUGAAUAUUUUAAGCCCACCGUUGACAUCAAUUGCUUAGAAAAAAAGACCCAUUUCAAAAUAUUACUUUUCAUUGAUAAUGCACCUAGUCACCCAGGACCUCUGUUGAAGAUAUAUAAAGAGAUUAAUAUUUAACAUAUAAUAUUAAAUAAAUAUCUUAUUAUUUAAGAAAUACAUUUUGUGGGGCUAUACCUUACAUAGUUAUUCUUCUGAUGGAUCCGAGGAAAGUAAAAACCUUCUGGAAAAGAUUCACCAUUCUAGAUGCCAUUAAGAACAUUUGUGAUUCAUGGGAAGAAGUAAAAACAGCAACAUUAAAAAGAGUUUGGAAGAAGUUGAUUCCAACCCUCAUGGAUGACUUGGAAGGGUUCAAGACUCCAGUAGAGGAAAUCACAGCAGAUGUGGUAGAAAUAACAAGAGAGCUAGAAUUAGAAGUGGAGCCUGAAGAUGUGACUGGAUUGCCACAAUCUCAUGAGAAAACUUGAACAGUUGAGGAGUUGCUUCUUAUGGAAGAGCAAAGAAAGUGUUUUUUUGAGAUGGAAAUGACAACAAAGGAUUUAGAUAUUACACAAACUUAGUUGAAAAAGCAUCGGCAGGUUUUGAGAAGACUGACUCAAAUUUUGAAAGAAGUCCUACUGUGGGUAAAAUGUUAUCAAACAGCAUUGCAUGCUACAGAUAAAUCUUUUGUGAAAGGAAGAGUUCGUUAGUGUGGCAAGCUUCACUGGUAUAUUAUUUUAAGAAAUUACCAGAACCACCUCAGCCUCCAGCAAACACCAUCUUGAUUUAUCAGCAUCCAUCAACAUUGAGGCAAGACCUUCUACUAGCAAAAACAUUACGACUUACUGAAGAUUCAGAUGAUCGUUAGCAUUUUUUAGCAAUAUAGUAUUUUUAAGGAUGGAUAAUGCAUCUGUAAACCUGAAACGUACCCAUUCUCCUUGAAGGCAAAUGGGCAUCUGCCUUAACUUUGGCAUAAAGAUGUUCACUGAUCCUGGCUUACUGGACUUUAAUCCAGUACUAAUGACUUGAAGCACACUGUGAACUACAAACAUAUUUUCAUUCAUCAUGGCAGAUGCUCUUUGAGACUUGCAUUGUGAGGACAGAAGUUCAAUUAAUGUGUUUCCCAUUUGUUCUUCUGACAGAUAGAGGCCAAAUGACACAAUGGGAAGAUCUUCAACUAAGUGUCAAGAAAAAAAACUAGUGUUCUAGUGUUCUAGAGUCCUCUUUGCCACUUAAAAUAGCCUUGUGACUAUAAGUGUGUCAUCCAUCAUCUUGGAGGUUCAGAAAUGGAAAGGAAAGACAUUUUGUAAGUGGCAUAGCAUAAAUGUCGAUAGAAUCCUGGCUUUGUCACUCCAACUUAGGUGACCACUAAACCAUCUGUUUCCAUUUUCUCUUUCACUUAUUUAAUAUACAUUUAGUGGUUAGCAUAAACUGACACUGUAUUAAAUAAUUAAAAAAUGAAAUAAAUGGUUGUUUUCUAGAGAAAUGCAGCAUUUAGUGUGAAAGGCAGACAUCCAAACCUCACAUGAUAUGGUCAAUAAAAGCCUUUCUCAAAUUUUUAUGUGUAUAGGAACCACCUGAGGAUCUCCUUAAAAUGCAGAUUGUAGUUCACUAGGUCUGGAGUGGGACCUGGGAUUCCUCAUUUCACACAAGCUUUCAGGCUAUGGAUACUGCUGAUCAGUGAAUCACAGUUUGAGAAGUGAGUGUAAUAAAAUAUAAACAGAGAUAUGCUAUCGGAGCACAGAAGAAAAGAAACUAACUGAACUAUGUAGCAUCCAAAGAGGAAGUGAGAUGGAGUUGAAGGAUGAGUAACAAAAGAUGCAAAGGAAGGCAUUUAAAUGUCUUUGAGUAGAGGCACUAUUUUAUACAGAACACAGAGGUAUGAAUUGCCAUGGUGUGAGUGUAGAAAAAUAAUCCCACACUGGGGAGUCAUGUACAGGGAGACCAGUUUCCAGGAAGAGCAACAGUUCACUUAGGAGGUAAUGAAGGCCUGAAUUACUUUAAUGUGUUCAUGUGAUUAUUCAUAGCUGGGUUUUCUAAAAGGUGUAGUGGAGAGGGCCUAAUGAAGGGGAAAACAGGGAGGAUAAAAAGAAAAAGGAAAUACAUUUCUCCCAAUAUAUUUGUAAGGUAAAAAGUGACAAGGCCAUGGCCAGGUUCAGUGGCUCAUGUGUGUAAUCCCAGUGCUUUGGGAGGCUGAGAUAGGAGGAUCACUUAAGGCCGGGAGUUCAAGAUCAGCCCAGGCAACAUAGCAAGACCCUAUCUCUACAUAAAAUUAGCCAAGUGUGGUGCCACGUGUCUGUAGACCUGACUACUUGGGAGACUGAGGCAGAAGGAUCACUGGAGCCCAGGAGUUCAAGGUUACAAUGAGCUAAGACCAUGCCACUGCACUCCAGCCUGAGUAACAACAGAGCAAGACCCUGUCUCAAAAAAAAAAGAACGAAAGAAAGAAAGAAAAACAAAAACAAAAAAGAAAAAGCAAAUGACAGAACCAAAUCGCUGAUCAUAAGUGGCUGAGGGUAAAAGGGAAGAGAGACAGGAAAAUGUAUUGCUCUGGUGACUGGUAAUGUUGUUUUUACUCAAGAUAAUGGUUAUACUAGGAGAAACAGUUUCUGAUUUGUUGGAGGAGGUAAAAAGUGAAGACAAAAUGAAUUUGAACAUUGAAAAUUUAAUGACUGAGGGACAUAUUUCCAGGGCCACUCUAGGUUUAAAGAUCUAUUAUUGCUUCCCUAUUAUUAAGUAAAUUUUCUUUGAAUGCUGCAUAGAGUGGCUACUUCAUAUUUUAUAAUAAAUUUAAACAACAAUUUUGAAAAAAAUUAACAUUUUAGCAUCAUUUCAUGAGUCCUUUGAGUGACUUCAUUUUCUCAUUUGUAAAUUCUUUGUGUAUUCCUUAAAGUUGGGUGUUAUGACUUUUAAUAGUACUAGGAAUAAUGCCAGCAAGAUGGCAGAGGAAGGUGCCUAGACCUUGCUCCCCAACAGAAACACUGACUUAACAACAAUACACAGCUCAAAAAGCCUUUAUGACAAUGGUAGAAUUCAGUUAGAAAGUUGAAGUACACCAGGCAAACACAAAGUCAAGAAUAGCCCCAUUGAAAUGGGAAGGAGAAGCAAGCUCCUCCUAAGCUGUUACAGUUCAUAAUCUGAAUGAAAAGCCCCAAUGUACAGCUUCUCCCUUGGGGGAAAGAAGAAGAUUGGAAUGUAUGUCCAAGUUUCAGCUUUUGGGGUGGGAGGAGGGCACUGCCUGAGAGAUUGGUUUCUAUCUCUCCUAACUUGGAGCAUUAACAGGGAACCGGGAUGCUUUGGAUGCCUGAGAACAAAAUGCAGCUCAGUGAAUUGUGGCAGCACCAGAGAAACUGCAGUACUACAGACAGACAUCAGAGAGAGCAAGAGAUGACAAGUUCCUGAAAAAUAAACUGGCAAACCUCUCACUAUAAAAUUACAUGCACAAGUUCAGGGAAGAUACAUUCCCAUAAAAGGCUUGUGAGGCCACUAGAAUCUCUAUGCAGGCUGAUUUAUGAAGGUCUUCCCCGUACAAAACCAGUGCACAAAGAUUGGGAGAAGUGGCUGUGUUUUAAAUGCAAAAAUCACAACAAAAUGUAAGGCAUACAAAGAAAUAAGAAAACAUGGCCAUUUCAAAAGAAUAAAGCCAAUUUCCCAAAACCAAUCCUAAAGAAACAACAAGAUCUGUGAAAGUAGCUAACAAAGAAUUUAAAAUAAUCAUCUUAAAGAAGCUCAAUGUGCUUUUAGAGAAGACAGAAAACUAAACAAAAUCAGAAAAAUGAUGCAUGAACAAAUUGAGAGUAUCAUUAAAUAGAUUUUUUAAAAACCUAGUAAAACAGAACCAAACAAAUUCUGGAACUGACAAAUAAAAUAACUGAAUUGAAAAAUUCACUAGAACAGAUGAAAGUAGACUUGAUCAAGCAGAAGAAGGAAUCAAUGACUUCAAAGACAUUGAAAUUUCAAAGGUCACAUGAAAUUAUCAAGAGAAUAACAACAACAAAAGAACAAAGAAAAGUGUUGAAAGCCUAAGGAACUUAUAAGACACCAUCAAGCAGAGCAAUAUAUACAUUAUAAAAGUUUCAGAAGAAGAAGAGAGAGAAUGGGGCAGAGAGCUUAUCUGAAGAAAUAAUUCCCAAAUCUGAGAAAGAAAAUUGUUGUCCAAAUUCAAAAAGCUCAAGGAACUAUAAUGUUGAUGAAUGUAAAAAGGCCCACACUAAGACACAUUAUAAAGUCAAAAGACAAAGACAAAAAGAGAGUCUUAAAAGCAGCAAGAGAAAAGUAACUCAUCACAUACAGGGGAACUUCCAUAAGAUUAUAAGUGGAUCUCUCAGCAGGAACACCUGCUUUACAAGAGAAGAAAGAUCUCAAAUCACCAACCUAAAUUUACACCUUAAGUAACUAGAAAAAGAAGCUCUAACUAAACCUACAGUUACCUAAAGGAAAAAAAUAAUAAAGGGUAGAGCAGAGAUUAAUAAAAUACAGAAGAGAAAAAAGUCAGCAGAACUGAGCUCAUUCUUUCAAAAGACCAACAAAAUUGACAAACUAAUCUUCUCAAACUCUUCAGAAAAAUGGAAGUGGGGGAACACUGCCUCUUGAUGCAAAAUCCCUCAACAAAAUACUAGCAAACCAAAUCCAUAACACAUUAGAAGGAUUAUACAUCAUGACUAAGUGGAAUUUAUUCCUGGAACGUGAGGAUGGUUCAACAUAUGAAAAUCAAUCAAUGUUAUACACUACAUUAAGAGAAUGAUGGGCAAAAACCAUGUGAUCAUCUCAAUUGAUGCAGAAAAGGCAUUUUGCAAAACUCCAAAAACUUUCAUCAUAAAAACACUCAACACAAAAGGAAAAUAAAAAGGGAAUGACAUCCACAUAAUAAAGGCCAUAUGUGAAAAGCCUACAGCCAACAUCAUGCCAAUGGUGAAAAACUGAAAACUUUUCCUCUAAGAUCAGAAGCAGGGCAAGAAUACCCACUCUUGUCACUUCCCUUCAACAUAGCACUGGAAUACCUAGCCAGAGCAAUCAGACAGGAAAAAGAUAUAAACAGAAUCCAAACACAAAAGGACUAAAUACAAUUAUCUAUGUUUACAGAUGGCAUGAUAUCUUAUGUAGAACACCCUAAUGAUCCUAUAAGAAAACCUGUUGGAACUAAUAAACAUAUUCAGCAAAGUUGAAGAAUACAAAAUCAACAUGCAAAAAUCAGUUGCAUUUCUAUAUAUUAACAGUAAACAACCUGAAAACAAUUUAAGAGAAAAUAUGAUUUUCAAUAGUAUCAAAAAGAAUACUUAGGAAUAGGCUGAAGCCAAGAGGCAAAAAUCUUGUACACUGAAAACUAUAAAACGUUGCUGAAAGAAAUCAACAAAGACAGAAACAAAUGGAAAUGCAUCAUGUUUGUGGAUUUCAAAACAAUAUUGUUAAAAUAUCUACCCUACCCAGAUCAAUCAAUGAAUUCAACGCAAUCACUGUCAAAAUCCUAAUGGCAUAUUUUUUGUAGAAAUAGAAAAAAAGAAUCCUAAAAUUCAUAUGGAAUCUCAAAGGACAAUGAUGAAAUGAUCUUCUACAAAGGCACCAAGGCUAUAUAAGAGAGAAAAGACAGUCUCUUCAGUGAAUGAUGUUGGGAAAACCGUGUAUCUAUAUCCAAAAGAAUGAAAUUCAACCCCUACCUUAUGCCAUAUACAAAACUUAAAAUGGAUUAAAGACCUAAAUGUAAGAUCUGAAACUAUAAAACUCCUAAAAGAAAACACAGGAAAAAAUCUUCAUGGCAUCGGAUUUGGCAAUGAUUUCUUGGAUUUGACACUGAAAGCACAAGCAACAAUAGCAAAAACAGACAAAUCGGACUAAUGUAACUUGAAAACUUCUGCACAGCAAAUAAAACAAUCAACAGAGUGAAAAGGUAACUUAUGAAAUAGGAGAAAAUAUUUGCCAACUAUAUAUCUUAUAAGGGGUAAAUAUCCAGAAUGCAUAAAAAACUACUAAAACUCAACAAGAAAAAGAAAAGCAACCCAAUUUAAAAAAUGGGCAAAAGACUUGAAUAGAUAUUUCUCCAAAGAAGAUGUAGAAAUAGCCAACAAGCCUAUGAGAAGAUGCUAAACAUCAGUAAUCAUUAGGGAAAUGCAAAUCAAAUCCACAGUAAGAUAUCACCUCACACCAGUUAAGAUGGCCACUGUCAAAAUAAUCAGAAAAUAACAAGUGUUGGUGAGGCCAUGGAGAAACUAGAACACUUGUACACUAUUGGUGAGAAUGUAAACAGUACAGAGAUUUCUCAAAAAAUUAAAAAUAGAAUUAUCACAUGACCCAGCAAUCCCACUUCUAGGUACAUACACAAAAGUAUUGAAAACAGGAACUCAGAAACAUAUUUGUGUACUGACAUUCAUUGCAGCAUUAUUCACAAUAGCCAAGAAGUGGAAGCAACAUUAAUGUCUGCCAAAAGAUGAAUGGAUUUUAAAAAAACAUAUUCAGUGUAUUAAUCCAUUUUCAUGCUGCUGAUAAAGACAUACCAAAAACUGGACAGAAAAAGAGGUUUAAUGGACUUACAGUUCCACAUGGCUGGGGAGGCCUCACAAAUAUGGUGGAAGGCAAAGAGGAGCAAGUCACAUCUUACAUGAAUUGUGGCAGGCAAAGAGAGAGCUUGUGCAGGGAAACUCUCCUUUUUAGAACCAUCAGAUCUCAUGAGACUUACUCUCUAUCACAAGAACAGCACGGAAAAGACCUACCCCAUGAUUCAAUUAUCUCCCACCGGUUCCCUCCCACAACACGUGGGAACUAUAGAAGCUACAAGAUAAGAUUUGUGUGGGGACACAGAUCCAAACCAUAUCAUUAAGCCUGAAGAAAGAAGGAAUAACCCUGUUGAGAUAUACAACAUGGAGGACAUUAUGUUGACUGAAAUAAGCUAGUCAUGAAAAGACAAAUGCCAUAUGAUCCCACUUAUAUGAAGUAUCUAAAACAGUCAAACUUUUAGAAACAGAUAAUAGGAUGGUGAUUGCCAGGGACUAGAGGGAGGGAGAAAUAGAGUUAUUGUUUAAUGGGCAUAAGGUUGCAGUUUUGUAAGAUGAAAAGAGUUCUGGAGAUGGAUGAUGGUGAUAUUUGUACAACAUUCUGAAUGUACUUAGUACCACUGAACUGCACACUUAAAAAUGGUUAUAAUCGUAAAUUUUCUACUAUGUUUUGACCACAUUAAAAUGAUUUUGAAUACAGUAUCUUCUAAUCUUGCCUGUGGUGGUUCGUAUAAUACAAUUGAUUUUCUAUGUCUUCUUCUUAAUUAUUGCUAACAUCAUUUAAGCUGCUUUUGUACAAAAGUGAUUAUUGACCAUAUCUUCUCUUUUCACAGUACCUUUUCAUUUCUCAUGAGUUCUAUUUGAUUAUAUUCCAGACUCUUUAAAUAAAUUAUUCUGAAAUGAUUUGUCAUAAAUAAAUUAUUUUUGGUAGUGAAUAAUAUUGGAAGUCUAAAAGAAGUACUAUAUGGUAAAAUGAAUUUAGUAAACUUUUGUCUCUAUUUGUAGAGCUGAUUUCCUUUAUAUAAUGGGAGUUUCAAAAUCAUGAAUCCCCAGGGCCAGAGAGGUAAUACAGUGUAGUGAAGCAGGCUGGGCAUAAGAAUUCUGGCAUUAGCAUUUUAAUACUACCGUUGAAACUUAGCCUUGGUGCUAGGAAGAUAUGGGGGUUCAGUAGGAAGUGUGGCAAACUGGAGAGCAUAGGGCCCAGGUAAAGGGGUAGCUAUUCAUAGUUCCAGGGGAUUGAUGCUAUGUGGGAAUGCACAUCCUCUCAAGAUCUUCUGAUUUUUACAGAGAAGUAAAGAUUUGCAUUUUCAUUUGAAAUCUACUGAUCUUACCUAUAUCGGGGCAAAUAUUUUAAAAAUACUCUUCACAGUUGUUAUGGGUUGAAUGUCUUCCCUAAAAAGGUAUAUUGAAGACUUAACCCCAAUACCUGCGAAUGUGACCUUAUUUUGAAAUAAGGUCUUUGCAGAUGUAAUCAAGAUACAUUGAGGUCAUUAGGGUGGGCCUUAAUACAAUAUGACUGGUGCCAUUAUAAGAAGAAGAAAAGAGAAAAAUACAUACGAGAAUGCCAUGUGAAGACUGAAGCAGAGAUUGAACAGAAGCAUCUACAAGCCAAGGACCACCAAGGACUCUCAGCAUCAUCAGAAGCCAGAGGCGAGGUAUGAAACAGAUUCUCCCUCAAAUUCCUCAAAGGAACCAACCUUGCCAACAACUUGAUUCAAACGUCUAGCCCCCAGAACUGUGAGACAAAACAUUUCUAUUGUUUUUCUAAGUACCCAAUUUGUGGAACUUUGUUAUCGCAGUCCUGUGAAACUAAUGCCAUAGUAAGUAAACAUACCUGUGAGUUUUAUAUGUUGUUUGCCACCAUAUCAUAUUAAUAAUCUUAUUAUGGAUUUUUUAAAACCCAAGAAUUUUUAAAAGUACAUGUUUGUGGCUAUGCCUCUUUGGAAUAUAGCAAGGUACUUUGUGUCAUUAUCAACAUCUCCACCAUCUUCUGAUCUCUUACUCCAAGAGAUGACCAGAAAGGUAAGUAUUUGAGUUUAUUACCUCAAUAAACAUUAAGGACUUACCAGGUACCAGUUACUGGACUAGGCACAAGAGGUAAAACUGAAAAAGAAAAUCCCUUUUUCCUCAAGAAAGUUACCGUUAUAAAAUCAGUUCUAAUACAGUAACUGUGAUGAUGAUGGGGUAGCACAGAUUGCUAUAAGACAAAGGAGGAGCUCCUAACACCAACAAGAGGCUCGGAAAGUGAUCAUGGGGUGAACUGAUAGCUUAUUUGUCCUACAACUACUAUACACCGGAACUAAAUUCAAACCCAAACCUCGUUCUACCUUACCUCUCCUUUGGUUUUUUUCAUCUGCAAAAUGAGGAUAACAUUACUCCUUAAAGCUCUGUGGUGAUUAAAAGAAAUCGGAAGCACAUUGUCUCAAUGUCUGAUCAUGGUAGACCUUACUUGUGCCCACUCAAAUCUGGCCUUCCUCCCUGUCCUGGAUACAUGGAAGACAUUUCCCAGAUGGAAAUAGAAGAAUACACUUCCCAGAAUCCUGCUUGCAGUUAGGGGGAGGCUUGUGACCAGUCCUGGCCAAAGUGUGAAAGCACAGAAGGGCCAGCAUGUGAUUUUUCACACUCUUGUCCCCUUGCAGGGACCGAGGAGACCAUGUGUUCUAGAUGGUAGAGCUGCAGAUGAUGACAUUUGUGUCAUCUAGGAUCCCCCAGCAACUAUGUGGAAUAGAACCUCUGCCAAAGGGGUCCUUUCCACAUGAUAAAAACAAAGCCUUGUUUUGUUAAGCCACUAGGAUUUGAGAGUAAAUUUUUCACAGCAAUUUAUCUUAAUCUAUCCUAAUUAAUAUACCGGUCCAUCAAACAUGCUCUGCAAAUGUCAGUUUUCUUCUUUCUUUUGACAAUAAUUUAGAAAUAACCAUUAAGUUUUUAAAAAGUAUUAAAAGUUAGGCUGUGUAUUACCCAGCUGCAUACAAUAUUCUUAUUCCAGGUUCUGAGACAAACCAAAAGCUGCUAUAAUAGUUGAGAAAGCAACUGUGUCCUAAGAUGAGCUGAAAUAAAAAAUCCAUUCAUUGUCAUAAAAAGUCACAUCUCAUUAAAAUCAUUUCUCUCAUUCCUCCAGACCAAAUUAUUUAAGUUUUAAAAUAGCAGAAGAACAUUGAAAAAACAUAUCAAUGCUAAAAAUUUCAGCUUCAGGUUUCAGUCACUAUUCUUAACAUACCUUCAAAGGGUUUUGAAGACUUCCAGGAAGGGGUUAUUCAACAAAAAGAAGUCUUUUAUUUUCUCUACAAAAUGGGACAUAGGAAAAAAGAGAUGAGAGUAAAUAUAAUACCAACUUUUCUGCUCAAACAAAUCUAAAAACUUUUGCCUAAUAUUCCACAUCUUGAUGAUAUGUUCUGAUUUGCUAACCAACCUCAUUUCUCACUUUUUCCCAACAUAGACUUCAUUUUAACCAAGUCUUCUCAAAGUCCACAAACGAGCCAUAUUCAUUCCUUCUUUAUGUCUUUACCCAUUUGCCUGAAAUGCCCUUCUCUCUUACUUGGAGAAUGAGCUCUGCGUCUGCUUCCUGUGGUGGUAUUUUGUCCUCCGGGAUUCAAUAUUUUUGUAUGCCUAGCAAUUUUGUCUCUUUUCUGGACUAUAACUCUCCAAGAACAGAAAUGAUUUUUUUUUUUUUUUUACACUUUACCUCCUUAUCCUCAAAGCUCUGGCAUAGUACUGAACACACCACCAGCAGUAAGUAAAUUCCUCUUGGUUGGCUGGUCUGUGAGUGUGUGUGGAGAAGGAUGGGUAAUGAAGUGUGAGCAGGGAGAGUGGAAAAUUGAAGUGGUUUUAGCAGAAAGUCUAGCAGCUGAAGAAUCAGUCUCUGGAGGCAGGGGGGGACUUAAAAAUUGUCUUCCACAGUUUUGUUUUUUAGUUGAGUAUUACCAAUUAGUGACCAUUUAACAAUAGGCUUACCACAACUGCUCCAUAGAGAAUGAAAGUAUGCAGUGAGGCACUUCAGAAACUUUCCUGCUUGGAAGUAGCUCUGUGUGGCUGUAGAAAGAGGCCGUGGGAAUGUUACUACUGUUCAUAUUUUAAAUAUCAAGUACUAUAUUCUCUACUAUUGCCUCCACUUUUGAGAAAAACAUGCAUGAUCACUGGGUACAAUGUAUGUAUUGUAUCAUUUCACCCAAACUGUCACCCAAGUUCUGGAUGUAGCACAAAGAGGUUUUAUGUAACAAUGUUUCAGUCUGUUAAUAAUGUGAUGCAUACUCAUGUGAAGUGCAUUGGUACCAGUAAGUAUAAAGAUUUAAGAUGUGUAGGUAGAUUUUUCUCAGCUUCCUGAUUGUACAACAAUAUAUUGUACCCUGUCAAAAUUGCUAUUUUCAAAUAUAUUAUGUUAAAAUAGGUGCUGAAUUAGAUUUGAUGUUCUGAAAAUGAAAGGUCAUAUGCUCGAGUCAGGGCCAUGAACUGAACUUGAGCGGAAGUAGAAGGAGUGGAAGUAGAGGAGGAAAGGAUUGGGAGGGAGAUGUUCAGUUGAGCAUAGUUACUCAUUGGAUAAGCAUUUCUUGAAUGCCAGGUGCUGUUCUAGGCACCGAGGAGCUCCAAGGAUCCAAGAUAGACUUGCUCUCCACAACCAUAGAGCAUACAUUCAAUUUGGGGAGAUAGGCAAUAUGCAGAUGAAUAAAUGUUCAUGAUGGCUUCAGGCAGCAGUGAAUUCUAUGAAGAAAAUAAAACAGGGUGAUAUACCAGUGAGGGAAGGGUUGUGGAGGAAAAACUCUAUGGGGAAGUAACAUGUAUCAAAGGCCUAAGUGACACAAAGGAGAUAGCUUUUCCUCAAUGUGGGGAAAGAAUGUCCCUGCAAAGGCCUAUAGGCUCCAGUGAGCUUAGUAUGUUUGUAUUUGAGGAACAGGAGGAAGGCCAGCAUGACGAAGGCAAAAUGAGGGGGCAGAUGAGACAGGAUAGAAUGGCAUGGGGCCAGGCUGUAGGCCAUGGCAAGGAGCUUGGGUUUUAAUUCUGUUGAAGAUUGGAGCACUGACGUCCUGUUUUAUUGAUUCUGGCAGGACCUGUGUACAGUCUGCCUCCGUGUCCACCUGUUCCUACCUGGUGGCUUCAGGUGCAUGUUUUCUCCCUUUUCCUGUCCUGGCUGCUGUUUUGAGGAAACCACCAUCUUUCAAACAGGAAGGCUUCAUGUCUUUGAGGGAUUAUUUGGAGAAAACACAUAUUCUGUGACUCAUUAGCCCUUUCUCAAAGUACACCUGGUCCUCACGUGUGGCUAUUUUUGUAACAAACAGAAUACUAGUUAUGAAACAAACCUAAAUGUGAGGAUGGGUAAAAUGGAGUGCCCUUUAGAAGCUCCAUGUCGUCUCUUGCGGUGUUGGUCCCAGGGCCAACAUAUUCAUAUGGCUCAGUAGACACAGCACUUUGGGCCUACAAUACUUUUAGGGGUACAUAAAGUGACUUAAUUAUUUUAAUAAUAAAAAAGUAACUUUUAAUUAAAUAAUAUAUUCACCUUUAUACCAAAGCAUUCAUAAAAUAUAAUUUAAAUAUUUUUAUGGAGGAAGGGACUGAGGAAGCAAAAGGACCCAUAGGGAAGUCAUGAUACCACCCAUGUUACUGCUUAUAUAAUAAGAGACAUUAACAUACUGUGUACUCUUCAAUAGAAUUAUUAUUCUGAAAGAAAUACAUUUUAUUUUGCUUGUUUUAGCUUAUUAAAUUAAUGGACACAACUAUUUGAAUAAUAGACUACUGUACCAUUGUAUUAUACAUGGUAUGACAUAUGCAUAGUGUUAAAGCAAACUAAGUAUGGCCUGAGAAGGACUCUGUACUUCUAUAUUUGAGUCCUUUUGGAUGAACUGCAACCUAACUUAAUAGGUAGACAAGACUGAAAGCCUAACUUAGAAGUAUGUGCUUCUAACAAUAGACGAGUCUUGGCCAAUCCCAGCAGCCAUACUUCAACCACUUAUACCCUGCUGAGUGUUCAAACUGUGUUCAAAUAACGCAAAAUGACAGCCUGUAACAAUUGAGCUGUUUCUGUACCUCACUUUCAAUUCCUGUACGUCACUUUACUUUUUUUGUCUAUAAAUCUGUUCUGACCACAAGGCACCCCUGGAGUCCCUCUGAAUCUGGUAUGUUUCUGGAGGCUGCCCGAUUUGCAAAUUGUUCAUUUCUCAAUUAAACUCUUUUAAAUUUAA